AAUACCUCGCUUCGUCACUGCCAAAUCAGACUCAGGGUGAGACGCUUCCGCCCGGAUGAAGGUAUUGUCGGGGUGAUAGUCCUUGCUUCCGGAAAGGCGAGCUGAGCAUUAUGGGUUAGGUGAGGAACCUCGCCCUCUUCUAUUACGGUACGCGCGAUGGGUAUUCCCUGAUGCCAUGAACUUACACGUUUCACACACGGGACCAGACGCUUGCUUUAGUUGACGCAUGAAGACCGGUCCGGUCUUUUGCGGAGAAAAGUGGUUAAAAGCUGACUUGUGGGCCGAGAAACUGUGGCACCCUAAUGAGCUAGGGCUAGACGCUUCGACCACCACGCCAAGUGAUUCUGAAGAUCUCUAAUUCUGUCAAGGCGAGAGCGCUCCAACACGUGUUCAUCGGCUGUUGCUUUUUAAAGAGAAGGCAAGGAGGAAGUCUUGCUUUUCUUGUACUUUUUUUCCUAGAAGCAGCAUUAAAGAUUUACUCCUUAUGUUGAGGAAGCGGAAAGCCUCUUCACUUUAAAAGUGUUUAUGAUCGGGCCUGGCGCGGUGACUCACCGCGCCCGGCCUGCUACACCUUUUAAAAUUCACAGCAAUGAUAAAUGUAUUAGACUCAUUGCCAGGAUAAAGAUUUAAUCUAUUUUUCUAGUAGUGCCGUCCUAUGUGGUUCUGUAGUUGCUUAUUCCAACUGGUAUAUUUCCAUAGGAUGGGGUUGAAUAAGAAAAACUUGCAAACUUUCAGAAACAGUAAGUUAUUUUUAUAUUUUUGAAGGCUUGCUGAGUAACGCUUCUCUUGGUAGCACUACCUUAUCUACCCUUCAGAGACUGUUAUUUCUUAGGAGUGGCCCUGGGCAAUUAAAAGCAAAAACUUCUGGCCGGGCAUAGUGGCUCAUGCCUGUAAUCCCAGCACUUUGGGAGGCCGAGGCGGGCAGAUUACGAGGUCAGGAGAUCGAGACCAUCCUGGCUAACACGGUGAAACCCAGUCUCUACUAAAAAUAGAAUAAAUUAACCGGGCGUGGUGGCGGGU
rnacentral:lncRNA from 10 species